AGAGAGAGAGAGAGAGAGAGAGAGAGAGAGAGAGAGAGGUCUGCCUGCUUCUUUGGCGACAGUGCUCCAGCAGCUGUGGCCAUGGGAGGUGAUGUACCGGAUCAGCUUCUCGUCUUCUUCAGGAGACCAUAGGCCCCUCCUCACCUUCUGCUUGCUGCAGCAGUGGUGACCCAUUGCCAGGGCCUUACUUUAUCUUCAUCUCAACACUCCUCCGCUACCCGACUAAUAUAUACAGCUCUCUCUUUCCUCCCCACUGCUGACAAAGGUACCCAACCACGUCCUUACGUUCGUGUGUGACAGCACCAUGGACCAUUUCCACAGAAGCAUGAGUAAGCAUAAGAAACACAAGGCAAAAGAAGAAGAAGUUGCUUGGAUUGCACUCUAUAUAUGAGAGGACCGAUCAGUACUCAUCAACCUUUCCCAUCUCCUUUGCCAUUGCCUGUUUGUUUAAGAAUCAGAACACAUGUGAGUGAUAUAACAUUAAUUCCAGUAGAAGAACAUUCUUCAACAAGCAGAAGAAUAAUUGAAACAGUCCAACUGGAAUGCUGACUGCCUUUGGUCGACUUGUGUCGGUGUGGUUACACAAGAGCAGGUGUCGGUACAUGAUUCAUGCACUGCAUGCCGGUAAUUGAUGGUUUGAUUAGGUACUCAGCAGGAUGGAUUAGAUGAUACCAUGCAUACUCCAUGUCUGAUCAAGUUGCGAUCUUGUUCUUCCCCAGAUUUCAACUUGACUUGUGCAAGUAUGGAUGAUCUCAGGAAAGUAAACACCAACUGAUGCUACAUUUAAUUCAUUUACAUUUACAUGCAACCCACCAAGAGGAUAUUCUUAAGUGAGAGAGAGAUUUUGAUUAGGUUUGAUAGAUGGGCUCGAUGCAUGGCUUAAUAAGCAUUAGUUUCUUGGGUUGAAUUGGUGUCCAAUUCAUUAUUUCUACUCCUAAAGCUUCAUCAAUGGCUCAUAAACAGCACAAGAAAAGUAAAAACAUUCGUGCAGACUUGCAUUACAAUGAGAGAAAGUAAACAAACUAUCUCAUGAUUUGGUGCUCUAUAAGGUUUCUUGAGGAACUACACAAAUGAUUAGGUGACCAAACAUGAGGUAUUAAUGGCCGCUGCCCACCACAUUUCUUGCGUUCAUAUCGAUCACCAUUUUGUUCACUUGAAUCAUUCAUUUGCCGAUGGAGGUCUUCUAUGUUUGCUGCACUCAAAAGUUGCUUGCCCUCCUUUGUCUUCUUCUUCCUGGUGUCAACGUCGGGGUGGAUGACUGGGUGUUAUCUCUGGCUUUGCUUUUCCCACCAUUGCUUUGUCUUAUCUUCCUGUCUCACUUUAAUCUUUUGUUGGGCACUGCUACUGCUUCAGCACGGGGACAAGAAGAAAAGGCAGCUGCCUUGGGCUUGAAACAAAGUGUAGUACACAGAUGUCACCUUCUUCCUGAUGACAUAUUUGUUCUCUUCGUAGGUGACGUCUUCCAAGCCAAAUGCAGUAGCAUUUCGUGCAGUCAUAUGUUUACUAAUGGUUUCCUAAUGAUUUCAAAAUAAAAACCAACUAGAAAUGAUUUCACCCAUAAAAUAUUAGACUUCUCAGUUUUAGCCCUUCUCAAUUUAUAUCAUGAUUACAUUCGCGAAAAUAAUACUUUACAUCAUAGGAUGUAAUUGUUGUGCAAGUCUUUCGAUUCAACAAUAAUAUGGAUAAUGCAUCAAGAUACAUCCUUUCCAGGGGUUGCUGAGUCUGUUUCAAAUAGACACCGAUUGCAAUCCAUCUCAAUAAUUAAUCCAGCCUUGAGGUGGCUUUUUUGGAUUGAGCCUAAUGAAAUUAGUCAUGCGCUAAUGCAUAAAUGUCAUCUCCAUAGUUUGUUCAAGUGAAAUCUAUCUACUUAGUUUUGAAGCUUUCUUUUUGAGGAAUGCAAUGGGUGUGGCCCAUUGGGUUGAUUCCUAUUGUCAUCAUCAUCUGUGUGCAUGCUUUUCAUAUCUGCACUGCAUAUCUAUCAAAGAGAAGUUAACCUUAAAAUUUGCAACAUAAUUCAAACCUCAUCAAUUCAGCUCAUAAUGGGCUUUAACAGCCCACAGCCCAUCAAACUAGGGGGUGUGAUGACUAUAAUUUUUUAAGGAGAAAAAGUGCAGCAGCAACUUGAUUCAAAAAAGGAUAGAAAAAUAAGAGAAGGAAAUAGAAGAAGAAAAGGACAAUGCAUAGAGACUAUUUUUAAUCAUCCAACAAUGUUCUUAUUUCAGGUUAGAUCAGAUCUACAGUAGAUUCUUGCUAUGAUUUCUUAAAGAGAAAUUAGAUAUUGUGCACAAGCGCAUGGUCCUUGUAUCUCAAUAAUUCUCUUGAGAGUGUUGCUAAGGUUUUGGGCAAGAGAUUGAGAUUUGUAUAUUCAUUAUUCUUAUAGUGGAUUAUCUCUAGUUUGUCUUGUGGUUUUUACCCUUCGGAGGGGUUUUUUACGUAAAUCUUGAUGUUCUAUUUAAUUAUGUUUCCAUUUAAUUCCACUGCGUGUUAUAGCAUGCUAGUAUUUGUUCAUAUACAAAAGUUUAUUUCUCUUUAUAUUCUAUCAACUAGUAUCAGAGUAAGGUUUUGAUAAUUUAAUUUUUGUAUUUGAACAUGGAGGCCGGUAGUAUUUCUCAUAUGAUUAGCUUGAAUGAAAAUAAUUGGAUGAUAUAAAAAUCAAGAAUGAAAGAUUUCUUGUAUUACAAAGAUUUGUAUAGAUAUUUGCAGGGGGAUAGUGUAAAACCCACAACUAUGACAGAUUAUAAGUGGAAGAGGUUAGAUCGGAAAAUAGUUUGGUUUAUUCGACAGUUGCUUGAUGACAGUGUCUUUCACCAUGUUUCUACUGAAUGUUCCAUAUAUUCUCUUUGAAAAAAGUUGGAAGGUCUCUAUGAAAGAAAAACAGUUAGCAAUAAAACUUUCUUGGUUAAAAAACUUAUAAACCUAAAAUAUAAAGAGGGUGCUUCUAUUGCUAAGUAUUUGAAUGAAAUGCAGAGUAUCACUAACUAGUUAUCAUCUAUGAAAAUAUCUCUUGAUGAUGAGUUGCAUACAUUGUUACUUCUCAGUUCAUUGCCAGAAAGUUAGGAGACACUACUGGUUUCUUUCAGUAAUUCUGCGCUAGAUGAUGUUGUCACAAUGAGUCAAGUAACAAGUAGUUUGUUGAAUGAGGAGUUAAGAAAAAAGAAUUCAGCUACAUCUCAGAAUGAUUCACAGGCACUUAUCUCAGAGAAUAGAGGAAGGUCAAAGUCCAAGUCAAAGGAUAGAAGUAGUUCACGCAUAGGUAGAAGCAAGUCAAGAUCAAGAAAAGAUAUUUUUUGCUAUAAUUGUGGUGAGAAAAGGCAUUACAAGAAUCAAUAUAAGCAACCAAAGAAGAGCAAGAAAAAGGGAAAAGAAGUGGAGCCUAUAAAGUCAAAAGAUAAUAUCAUAGUUAUAGUGCAAGGUGGUGAUUAUUUGAUUUUGUCUCCUUAUGAUGAUAUUUUUUCUUAUAUGUGUCAGGAUCUUGAGUGGGUGAUUGAUACAGAUACUUCUUAUCAUGCUAUACCACGGAGGGGGUUUUUUACUGCAUACAAGACUGAACAAUUUGGUGUUGUCAAGAUAGGCAACUAUGACACGGCAAGCAUCAUUGGCAUGAGUGAUAUCCAUAUAAAGACUAACCUUAGCUACAAGUUAGUGCUUAAGGAUAUGAGACAUGUGAUUGACUUGGGGCUUAAUUUAAUUUCAGUUGGAAGACUAAAUGAUAAAGAUUAUGAUAGCAGAUUUCACAUGAGGCAAUAAAAGCUCAGUAAGGGUUCUCUUAUUGUAGCUAAUGAAAAGAAAUGUCACACUUUGUACAAGUUACAGGUCAAAACUUAUGGUGAGCAACUAAAUGCUAUAGAGAAAGACUUCAGCAUGGAGUUAUAGCAUAUACGAUUGAGACACAUGAAUAAGAAGGGGCUACAAGCUUUUUCCAAGAGAGAGGUAUUGCCAGACCUCAUAAGUACGUAUUUGAACCCUUAUAUUGAUUGUUUAGCUAGUAAAUAACAUAGAGUUUCAUUUGCUAGUCCUGCUAUAUCUAGAAAAAUGUAUAUCUUAGACCGUGUUUAUACAAAAGUAUGUGGUCAUUUGAAAAUAAAAACUUCGGAUGGAUUUGUUAAUGUUUUUGGUAUUAGUGGUGCACUUUAUUUUGUCACUUAUAUAGAUGAUUUUUCCAGGAAAGUUUGGACCUAUGCUAUGAAGACUAAAGAUCAGGUUAUUAAUGUUUUCAAAGAAUUUCAUGCUAGAGUUGAAAGGGAGAUAGAAAGACAACAAAAAUGCAUAAGAUCAAAUAAUGGUGGUAAGUAUACAGGAUUAUUUAAUGAUUAUUACAGGUCACAUGACAUCCAACAUGAGAUGAUAGUUCUUGAUACACCUCAGCAUAAUGCUAUUGAAGAGAGAAUGAAUCGCACCAUCAUGAAAAAGAUCAAAUGCAUGCUUUCAUAAGCUAAGCUACCCAAAAAGUUUUGGGAUGAGGCUUUGAGGACUACAGUUGAUGUGAUCAACUUGUUACCAUGUACAACCCUAUAUGGUGAUGUUGUAGAGUAUGUAUGGUCAGGGAAAAUAUUUUUUACAGGUAUUUGAGAGUGUUUAGUUGUUGUGCAUUUGCACAUGUUCCAGAUAAUGAGAGGUCCAAGCUGGAUGAUAAUAUUAAAGAAUGUAUUUUUCUUGGUUACUCACAUGACUAGUUUAGUUAUAGGCUUUGGGAUUCAGAAAAGCAAAAGGUGUAUAGAAGCAGAGAUGUGAUCUUCUUUGAGUAUCAAACCUUUGAGGAUUUGAAGAAGAAGGCACCAGCCAAGACUUUUGCAGAAGGAUUAGCAUAUUAUGACUCAAUUACUCCUCCAGUAUAUUAGGGUGAUGGGGGAGAUGUGUAGGAAGAUGAUGUAGAGUCUGAUAUUAAUCUACCUGCAUGACAUGUUGAGCAACAAGAAGUUGGAGGGCAAUUUCCCGCAGAACCUCAAUUGAGAAGAUUUUCUAAAUAACAUUAACCUUCCAGAAGAUACUCUAUAGAUGAGUGUGUGAUGCUUACUGAUGUAGGUAAACUAAAGAGUUAUCAUGAAGCAAUUGAAAGUGAGUAGAAAAAGAAGUAGUUAGUUGCUCUGCAGGAAGAUAUGGAUGCUCUUCAGAAGAACCACACUUAUGAUUUGGUGCUACUACCAAAUGGAAUGAAGACCUUGAAGAACAAGUGAGUUUUUAGGUUGAAAACUCAAGAAUAUUGUUCUCAACUAAAAUAUAAAGCCAGAUUAGUUGUGAAAGACUUUGAAGAGAUUUUUUUUUCUAUUAUUAAAAUGUCUUAUAUUCGUGUUACUCUUGGUAUUACUACUAGCCAAGACUUUGAGAUUGAGUAGUUAGAAUAACCAGAAGGCUUCAAAGUCAAAGGUAAAGAGAACUUUGUCUACAAGUUGAAGAAGAGCUUAUAUGGGCUAAAACAAGCUCCAAGACAAUGGUAUAGAAAGUUUGAUUCAUUUAUGACAGAAAGUGGAUACAAAAAAUGGCUUCAGAUCAUUGUGUGUAUGUCAAAUGGUUUAGUGAGAAUAUUAUUAUUCUCUUACUUUAUGUUGAUGACAUGCUUAUUUUUGGGAAAGAUAUGUCUAUAAUUGACAGGUUGAAGAAGGAACUAAGUGAGUCUUUUGCAAUGAAGGACAUUAGGUUAGCAAAGCAAAUAUUAGGCAUGUAGAUUUCUUAUGAUAGAAAAACCAAGAAGAUUUGGUUGUCACAAGAGAAAUACAUCGAGAAGGUAUUAGAAAGGUUCAAUAUGAGUAAUGCAAAGUUAGUUGAUUCUUCUCUUGCAAGUCACUUCAAGUUGUACUCAAAACAUAGUCUAUCAAGUGAUAAGGAGAAGACGAAAAUGAAAAAGGUUCUUUAUGCUUCAGUAGUUGGAAGUUUAAUAUACGCCAUGGUAUAUACGAGACCGGACAUCGCAUAUGCAGUGGGUGUUACUAGCAGAUUUCUUACAAAUCCAAACAAAGAUCACUCGACAAUAGUGAAGUGGAUUUUUAGAUAUCUCAAAGGAAGCUCUAAGGUUUAUUUAAGCUUUGGAGGUGGACCACCUGUGUUGAUAGGUUACACAGAUGUAGAUAUAGCAAGAGAUAUAGAUACGAGGAAGUCCACAUCAGGUUUUGUACUUAUUUUUAUAGGGGGAGCUGUGUCAUGACAAUCCGGAUUACAAAUGUAUAUUGCUCUCUCCAUCACAGAGGCAGAAUAUAUUGCUACUACAAAGGUUUGCAAAGAAAUAUUAUGGAUGAAAGAAUUUUACAAGCUGAAACAGAAAAACUAUGUGGUGAAUUAUGAUAGCCAGAGUGCCAUCUAUUUGUGUAAGAAUCCAACAUUUCAUUCCAAGUCAAAAUAUAUAGAUGUCAAAUACCACUGGAUUCGAAAUGUACUUGAAGAGAAGCAGUUGUAGCUUCAGAAAAUUUACAUGGAUGACAACGGAGCAAACAUGUUGACAAAGAUCUUACCAAAAGAAAGAUAAGAGAUAUGUCAAUAGUUGGUCGACAUGACUUUACAUCGAAGAGUCAUGGGAUAGCCUCCCUUAUGGGCUAAAGGGAGAGGCUAUUGGGCUAAAAAGCCCAUGAAUUCAGCCCAUUGUGGGCUUUAACACCUCACAGCCCACCCCCCUUAAACCUAACCAUAGAUCAAAUUAAGGGGGUGUGGUGGCUGUGAUUUUUUGAGGAGAAAAACUACAGCAACGAGGAGAAAAAGUGUUGCAGCAACUUGAUUUAAAAAGAGGCAGAAAAAUAAGAGAAUAAAAAGGAAAAAGAAAAGGAUAAUGUAGAUAGACUAUUUUAAAUCAUCCAACAAUGUUCUUAUCUCAGAUCAGAUCUAUAGUAGAUUAUUGUUAUGAUUACUUGGGGAGAAUUUAGAUAUUAUGCACAAUAAUAUGAUUCUUGUAUCUAAAUUAUUUUCUUGAGAGUGUUGUUAGGGUUUUGGACAAAAGAUUGAUAUUUGUAUAUUCAUUAUUUUUAUAGUGAAUUAUCUCCGUGAUUUUUACCCUUCACAUUGGAGGGAUUUUUCAUAUAAAUCUUGAUAUUCUAUUUAAUUAUAUUUUUAUUUAAUUCCGCUACGUAUUAUGAUUUAUUAGUAUUUAUUUAUAUACAAAAGUUUAUUUUUCUUUAUAUCCCAUGUCAGGUAAAUACUGGAUUCACUUCUGAUGUGGUUUCAAGAAACAAUUAGAUUGUUUUGGCUCAAUUGUGAUGGCUGUGGAUUCACUUUUAAGGAACUCUAUGUUGCUUGUGUGUUUUGUAAUUUUAGGCGGCUGGAGGGGAACAAUAGCUUGUUUUGUGAGGCGCGGGUCGUUCAAGCGGCCAUGCAGAAGGCUCUCGAGCUGAGAAUCCAGCACUCGAUUGUGGAAUCGAAUCCCAAAGUUAUCAUCGAUACUAUGUUGAAGCACUCUUUCUCCUUCUUCGACCAUUGAUACGGUCAUCCAAAAUAUUCACCCUCUAACAGCAUGGUCUUUGGAUUGCUCAUUCGUCUAUGUUUGACGUGAAGCCAAUCGUCCAGCUAACUGGCUUGCUUGUUGAGCUAGAAACUCAUCUUUUGAUUGUAACUGGCCGCUGGAUCUUCCUCCGGACCUGAGCUUUUUGGAUCACAUUGAUGCGAACGAAUCUGGUUGUAUCAGACUUGUUUCAGUUUAGAUCUUAAUCUUGGUUUUUCUUCUAAGAAAAAGAGACAAUUAGGUGGUAUUAAUCCUUCUCAAAGAAACAAAUCAUGUACUCAAUCAAGAAGCUGCAAUUAUGGCAAGAAGAUAUAAUCCCCUGUUCUUGCCAUUGACAGUUUUGAUGUCACAGAGACGUGUUGAGAUCCUUUUCCACAUCCAGAUUGUAAAGCUGAGCAUUUGCAGUGAUCAUUUGCCGUGGAAGUUGGUCAACAUCUCCCUGGGGGGGAUGAAGCAGUCAGCCGAAAGCCCUGCAACAUUGAAGACUACAUCCUCAAUCCUCCACUCCUCUUCCAUUCUUAUCCUGCUGCUUUGGGCAGACGCAUCGCCGAAGCGGAAAACACUUGCAGCAGACCUCCCUUGAUGAGCCACAAGGACGCCAUCCACCUCCUUGUAGUCCCCCAUGGUGCUUCCGAUGGUGGUCUCCCAGUACAUGGUGUCGGAGCCCGGGGCUUGCACUCUUGUGAGGUGGGAGUCCUCGAUGUAGACGAGCAGGCCGCUCCUCUGGCUGAAGUAUCCAUAGAGGACGUGCCUGAUCACCUCAGCUGGCCCAUCGCUUCUCUCUGCAACCGUAGCUCGAUCUGCUGAUACUUUUAAGACGAAGCAGUUCUCAUCCUUGAUGCGCUUCUCCCCGAGACACCGGGCUUUGGUGAACAUGCUCGCUGUGCCCUUUGGAUCCAAUCCCUGUGAUCGAUGAGGAUGGAGGAAAGGAUUACGUGAACAGAGUUCCUUAGAGUAGAACGUGUUGAAGCAGAGUGCACUUUCCUACCUGAAUGAUGCGUCGCAGCGGCCGCUGGGGGCCUCUGGCUGCGUCUGUUCCAAGCCAAGGCACGUUCCUCCACGCCACCUUACCGUUGCUGCCGGCGGCCACCUUGCAGCCGGCCACCACCAGCUCCACCAGCCACAUUCCGGGCGACUUCUGCCACAAGACGAAGCAGCCAUGUCCUGCACCUGAUCUUGCACCAAUCUUCCCUGAUGGACCAUCAGUCUCACGAGAGACCAUCUUCACCCUACCAGCUGCAUACAUGCUCUUCAUGUACUCAUGGUGUUUCAAGCAUCCUGUUGCUGCCAAGUAUUGCUGAAUGAUAUAACGAGCUGAAGAAGCUUCCUGCAUUAGUCCGACAAGAAGAGGGAAUUACUGACAAAAGCUGCACCUGCAAAGAUCGGCAAGUGUUAAGAGAUGGAGGAAGACAUUACUAUGGGACUGUCUUUGAAGGAGAAGUGGUGACUUGGUUCAGUAGUCAGUGGCAGUGGAGCUAAUGGACACCCCAAGACACUAAGAAUUAGCUUCAGAUCGGUCCACUUCGAUGCGCCGCUCCCAUGGAAUGGAAUCGAGAAAUGGCUCCCUGACAUGCCUUUAUCCUUGUGCAGUCGCAGCCAUGUUCCAAUGGAUUCCCAGUACUUCUCCUUCUUGGCUCUUUCUCCAUGUGCAUCAUCAAGGUCAGGACCUUCCACCAGAGGUGUCAGUGGCUGCGCCAAGCACACACGGUUCUUUCUCCUGAUUCUUGGACCCAUGACUUCUAUGAUCACAAGAAUGAUGAGAGAUGAUGACUACUGCAUGGAACCAACAGGAAGGAGAAGCAAUGAGAUGGGAUGAGAACCAAAGAGAUGGUUGUUGGAUCUGCUAUCCUAAUUGUCAGUGAUACAAUAUAANNNNNNNNNNNNNNNNNNNNAGAGAGAGAGAGAGAGAGAAUUCUUGUGAGACGGACAAAAGGGACAGCCUAUAUGUUCCAUUGGUGGGGAAUGGACUUAAGUAGCUGCUCCCCAUGUUUGCCUGUCUUUGUUCUCCUCCUCUAAGGCUCUGCAGUCCUUUUCAUAACACACUGGCUCUGUAACUUUCAAUUGCCAACAACACUUGUGCUUCCAAACCUUCAGCUAAGGAGUCUGAUGAUCCAUGGAGUAGCAAGGAACAAGGGACCAGUACUAAUGACCAUGAGAACUUAGAACAGAAUCCAAGGGAAGCUCCACAUGUGAGUGAACACCCCC
rnacentral:lncRNA from 1 species